rnacentral:rRNA from 7 species
GUUGGUGAACCAGCGGAGGGAUCAUUG